UGAGGAAUAUUGGUCAAUGGGCGAAAGCCUGAACCAGCCAAGUAGCGUGCAGGAUGACGGCCCUAUGGGUUGUAAACUGCUUUUACAGGGGAAUAAAGUGAUUCACGUGUGUUUCAUUGCAUGUACCCUGCGAAUAAGGACCGGCUAAUUCCGUGCCCCAGCAGCCGCGGUAAUACGGAAGGUCCUGGUGUUAUCCGGAUUUAUUGGGUUUAAAGGGAGCGUAGGCCGCAGAUUAAGUGUGUUGUGAAAUUCAGGCGCCCAACGUCUGACUUGCAGCGCAAACUGGUCUGCUUGAGUUCGCGCAACGCAGGCGGAAUUCGUCGUGUAGCGGUGAAAUGCUUAGAUAUGACGAAGAACUCCGAUUGCGAAGGCAGCUUGCGGGAGCGUUACUGACGCUUAAGCUCGAAGGUGCGGGUAUCAAACAGGAUUAGAUACCCUGGUAGUCCGCACAGUAAACGAUGGAUGCCCGCUGUUGGUACCUGGUAUCAGCGGCUAAGCGAAAGCAUUAAGCAUCCCACCUGGGGAGUACGCCGGNNCGGU
rnacentral:rRNA from 1 species